rnacentral:rRNA from 1 species
UACGGGAGGCAGCAGUGAGGAAUCUUGGACAAUGCACGAAAGUGUGAUCCAGCUAUAUCGCGUGGACGAAGAAGGGUAUUUUGCUUGUAAAGUCCUUUCAGCAAUAAACAUGUUUUUACAUGGAGCCAUAAUGACAGCUCUUGCAGAAGAAGCCCCGGCUAAUUUCUGUGCCAGCAGCCGCGGUAAU